rnacentral:lncRNA from 1 species
GAUCUUAGUGGCAGACAAAGGAUUUGACUUUGGAGAGGAUGGUGUGGAGAACUGAAAUUCCGCUAAGAACACCUUAGGAUUCCCUAUAGGGUAAAGUGAAGAUCUUCAACUGGGCGUUGUGGAUUUAGAUGUGUAUGAGAAAUCCAGAUUAUCCUACAGGGUAUUACAAAGCUCAGAAUGGUAAACUUUAAGUCACUGUAGCUAGUUCUGAUUUUUACAAUUGAAAUUACACUUGAUGCCACUAUUUUCCAUAAGUGAUGCUUCUGACAUUUUAUGCAAACUUCAGUUUAUAUAUAAAAUUGGAUGCUCUGAAUGCUUUGAUUAGCAUGGUCUUACCUGAGCUAGUUAAAACAUGAUUUUAAUAAGACCAAAGAUCAAGAUUUCCUUCAGAAGCCAACUCCAAGUGAAGUUGUCCUCCUCAUGCGAACUACAGCUUAAAUUCCGGACAUAACAGCUUAGCUUCCAGAUGACUGUACCUAAGCCUGAAUUCUAAGCAUUGUGCCUUUGUAAUAUUAAAUUUUCUAGCCUGUCUGUGCUAGGGCAUGAGGGUAAACAGGUUAAAAAUCUAUAUGCAAAUUUCAAGAAGAUGACACGUUUGAAAGAAAAA